rnacentral:sRNA from 1 species
GCCAGGUGUGGUGGCACAUGCCUGUAAUCCCAGAAACAUGGGAGGCAGAGGCAGGAGGAGUGCAUGCUUGAGGUCAGCCUCAGCAACUUAACAAUCCCCUGUCUCAA